AGGAGAACAUCUUAUAAUCUUAGGGUGGACAUGACUUUUUUAAGUAAAAUGUAGUAUAAAAAUCCUCUAGGAGUUUCCUGGUGGCCUAGCAGGUUAAGGAUCUGCUGUUGUCACUGCUGUGUCAUGAGUUCGAUCCCUGGCCAGGAAACUUCCGAAUGUUACGGAGAGGACCUCAAAAUGCAAAGUCUUCUUAUGACAAAAGAUGCUGUGAACAAGAGCAAAAUAACAAUAAGAUCCUACUGUGCAGCAUGGGGAAUUAUAUCCAGUCUCUCGGGAUAGAACAUGAUGCAAUAUUGUGUGAGAUAAGGAAUGUGCAUAUAUGGGAGCUCCUGUUGUGGCUCAGUGGUUAACGAACCCGGCUAGCAUCCAUGAGGAUGCGGGUUCGAUCCCUGGCCUUCCUCAGUGGGUUAAGGAUCUGGUGUUGCUGUGGCUGUGGUGUACGAUGGCAGCUGUAGCUCUGAUUUAGCCCCUAGCCUGGGAACCUCCAUAUGCGGUGAGUGUGGCCCUAAAAGUCUAAAAGCCAAAAAAAAAAAGAAUGUGUAUAUAUGUAUGACUGGGUUGCUUGGCUAUACGACAGAAAUGGACACAGCAUUGUAAACUGACUAUACUUGAUUAAAAAAACAGACUGGGAGAAAAUAUUUGUACAUAAUGAAGCAAUAGGAAAACGAAUAAUUUUAGAAUGACUACAAAUGACCAAUACAUACCUGAGGAAUUGCAAAAAAUAACUGGAAACAAGGAAAAUACAAAUUAUAUUUUAAGUAUAUAUAAUGUAUGUAUUAUAUAAGAAGCAUAAACUAUAUAACAUUUUAAGUAUUUAGGAUAUAAUUGUGUCUGGUUGCUCUCCAAAGGCCUCAAAGGCAAGACGAGGGGCGCUAAGUAUUCUAAUUCUGCUGGGGGACGCGUGAAGGGCACAGCUUCCUUCAGCAGUUCCGUCGAAAGAUAAAGUGUGAAAUUCCCUCUGCUAAAAUCUCGUUUCUACGUACCUCUCACAGAGAAAUCGUCUUACGUGUGUGUGUGCACGCCGAGGCCGAGACAGAGACAUUCACUCAGCACGGUUUUCAAAAAAGAAAACGCCGAAGCACCUCAAGGUCACUCGGCAGAGGAGUGUGAAGAGCGACUGCCGAUUUCACAUGAGACCAGGCUACACGUGGACUGGCGUGGCGCAGUGGGACGGGGCUGCGCUAAGCCGCAACGCUCGGACCCGGUCCAAGAGCCCCGCGCUGACCUGCUGAGUGACUUCACCUUCUGGGCCUCGGUUUCCUCACCUGCACGUGGAAGGACCUGGACUCAUUUUCUCUCUACUCUCAAGUUCAGUCAGGAGGUGAGUCUGCAAGAAGUUUAAUGGGCUUUGAGAGCUGCUGAAAAUAAAAACUCUAUUUCUCUGCUUCCUUGUGUGUUC
rnacentral:lncRNA from 1 species